AGGACGAACGCUGGCGGCGUGCUUAACACAUGCAAGUCGAGCGGUAAGGCCCUUCGGGGUACACGAGCGGCGAACGGGUGAGUAACACGUGGGUGAUCUGCCUCGCACUCUGGGAUAAGCCUGGGAAACUGGGUCUAAUACUGGAUACGACCAGGGACUGCAUGGUUUCUGGUGGAAAGGUUUACUGGUGCGAGAUGGGCCCGCGGCCUAUCAGCUUGUUGGUGGGGUAAUGGCCUACCAAGGCGACGACGGGUAGCCGACCUGAGAGGGUGACCGGCCACACUGGGACUGAGACACGGCCCAGACUCCUACGGGAGGCAGCAGUGGGGAAUAUUGCACAAUGGGCGAAAGCCUGAUGCAGCGACGCCGCGUGAGGGAUGACGGCCUUCGGGUUGUAACCUCUUUCGACAGGGACGAAGCGCAAGUGACGGUACCUGUAGAAGAAGCACCGGCUAACUACGUGCCAGCAGCCGCGGUAA
rnacentral:rRNA from 1 species